CAAUAGCGUAUAUUAAAGUUGUUGCAGUUAAAAAGCUCGUAGUUGGAUUUCGGGGCAGCCUGGCUGGUCCGCCGCAAGGCGAGUACUGGUCAGCCGCCCUUCCUCUCGAAAGCCCCGACUGCUCUUCGUUGCAGUGGUCGGGUAGUUCGGGACGUUUACUUUGAAAAAAUUAGAGUGUUCAAGGCAGGCCUACGCCUGAAUACAUUAGCAUGGAAUAAUGGAAGAGGACCUCGGUCCUAUUUUGUUGGUUUCCAGGGCCGAAGUAAUGAUUAAGAGGGACAGUUGGGGGCAUUCGUAUUUAAUUGACAGAGGUGAAAUUCUCGGAUUUAUGAAAGACGAACAACUGCGAAAGCAUUUGCCAAGGAUGUUUUCAUUAA
rnacentral:rRNA from 1 species